rnacentral:rRNA from 1 species
CAGCAGCCGCGGUAAUACGGAGGGUGCAAGCGUUAAUCGGAAUUACUGGGCGUAAAGCGUGCGUAGGCGGUUUGUUAAGUCUGCUGUGAAAUCCCCGGGCUCAACCUGGGAAUGGCAGUGGAUACUGGCAAGCUAGAGUGUGUCAGAGGAUGGUGGAAUUCCCGGUGUAGCGGUGAAAUGCGUAGAGAUCGGGAGGAACAUCAGUGGCGAAGGCGGCCAUCUGGGACAACACUGACGCUGAGGCACGAAAGCGUGGGGAGCAAACAGGAUUAGAUACCCCGGUAGUCCCUGUCUCUUAUAC